rnacentral:rRNA from 1 species
UACACAUGCAAGUCGAACGGCAGCACGGGAGCAAUCCUGGUGGCGAGUGGCGAACGGGUGAGUAAUAUAUCGGAACGUGCCCAGUCGUGGGGGAUAACGCAGCGAAAGCUGUGCUAAUACCGCAUACGAUCUCUGGAUGAAAGCGGGGGACCGCAAGGCCUCGCGCGAUUGGAGCGGCCGAUAUCAGAUUAGCUAGUUGGUGGGGUAAAAGCCCACCAAGGCGACGAUCUGUAGCUGGUCUGAGAGGACGACCAGCCACACUGGAACUGAGACACGGUCCAGACUCCUACGGGAGGCAGCAGUGGGGAAUUUUGGACAAUGGGCGCAAGCCUGAUCCAGCAAUGCCGCGUGCAGGAUGAAGGCCUUCGGGUUGUAAACUGCUUUUGUACGGAACGAAACGGCUCCUUUUAAUACAAGGGGCUAAUGACGGUACCGUAAGAAUAAGCACCGGCUAACUACGUGCCAGCAGCCGCGGUAAUACGUAGGGUGCGAGCGUUAAUCGGAAUUACUGGGCGUAAAGCGUGCGCAGGCGGUUAUAUAAGACAGAUGUGAAAUCCCCGGGCUCAACCUGGGACCUGCAUUUGUGACUGUAUAGCUAGAGUACGGUAGAGGGGGAUGGAAUUCCGCGUGUAGCAGUGAAAUGCGUAGAUAUGCNGAGGAACACCGAUGGCGAANGCAAUCCCCUGGACCUGUACUGACGCUCAUGCACGAAAGCGUGGGGAGCAAACAGGAUUAGAUACCCUGGUAGUCCACCCCUAAACGAUGUCAACUGGUUGGUGGGUCUUUACUGGNUNANUAACCNAACUNACCCUUGAAGUUGACCGCCUGGGGA